rnacentral:rRNA from 1 species
ACUAUCGUUAACUGAAUACAUAGGUUAACGAGGCGAACCGGGGGAACUGAAACAUCUAAGUACCCCGAGGAAAAGAAAUCAACCGAGAUUCCCCCAGUAGCGGCGAGCGAACGGGGAGCAGCCCAGAGUCUGAAUCAGCUUGUGUGUUAGUGGAACGGUCUGGAAAGUCCGACGGUACAGGGUGAUAGUCCCGUACACCAAAAUGCACAGGCUGUGAACUCGAAGAGUAGGGCGGGACACGUGGUAUCCUGUCUGAAUAUGGGGGGACCAUCCUCCAAGGCUAAAUACUCCUGACUGACCGAUAGUGAACCAGUACCGUGAGGGAAAGGCGAAAAGAACCCCGGCGAGGGGAGUGAAAAAGAACCUGAAACCGUGUACGUACAAGCAGUGGGAGCACCUUCGGGUGUGACUGCGUACCUUUUGUAUAAUGGGUCAGCGACUUAUAUUCUGUAGCAAGGUUAACCGUAUAGGGGAGCCGCAGGGAAACCGAGUCUUAACUGGGCGUUAAGUUGCAGGGUAUAGACCCGAAACCCGGUGAUCUAGCCAUGGGCAGGUUGAAGGUUGGGUAACACUAACUGGAGGACCGAACCGACUAAUGUUGAAAAAUUAGCGGAUGACUUGUGGCUGGGGGUGAAAGGCCAAUCAAACCGGGAGAUAGCUGGUUCUCCCCGAAAGCUAUUUAGGUAGCGCCUCGUGAAUUCAUCUUCGGGGGUAGAGCACUGUUUCGGCUAGGGGGUCAUCCCGACUUACCAACCCGAUGCAAACUACGAAUACCGAAGAAUGUUAUCACGGGAGACACACGGCGGGUGCUAACGUCCGUCGUGAAGAGGGAAACAACCCAGACCGCCAGCUAAGGUCCCAAAGUCAUGGUUAAGUGGGAAACGAUGUGGGAAGGCACAGACAGCCAGGAUGUUGGCUUAGAAGCAGCCAUCAUUUAAAGAAAGCGUAAUAGCUCACUGGUCGAGUCGGCCUGCGCGGAAGAUGUAACGGGGCUAAACCAUGCACCGAAGCUGCGGCAGCGACACUAUGUGUUGUUGGGUAGGGGAGCGUUCUGUAAGCCUGCGAAGGUGACCUGUGAGGGUUGCUGGAGGUAUCAGAAGUGCGAAUGCUGACAUAAGUAACGAUAAAGCGGGUGAAAAGCCCGCUCGCCGGAAGACCAAGGGUUCCUGUCCAACGUUAAUCGGGGCAGGGUGAGUCGACCCCUAAGGCGAGGCCGAAAGGCGUAGUCGAUGGGAAACAGGUUAAUAUUCCUGUACUUGGUGUUACUGCGAAGGGGGGACGGAGAAGGCUAUGUUAGCCGGGCGACGGUUGUCCCGGUUUAAGCAUGUAGGCUGAUUAUCCAGGCAAAUCCGGAUAAUCAAGGCUGAGGUGUGAUGACGAGGCACUACGGUGCUGAAGUAACAAAUGCCCUGCUUCCAGGAAAAGCCUCUAAGCAUCAGGUAACAUCAAAUCGUACCCCAAACCGACACAGGUGGUCAGGUAGAGAAUACCAAGGCGCUUGAGAGAACUCGGGUGAAGGAACUAGGCAAAAUGGUGCCGUAACUUCGGGAGAAGGCACGCUGGUGUGUAGGUGAAGUCCCUGCGGAUGGAGCUGAGACCAGUCGAAGAUACCAGCUGGCUGCAACUGUUUAUUAAAAACACAGCACUGUGCAAACACGAAAGUGGACGUAUACGGUGUGACGCCUGCCCGGUGCCGGAAGGUUAAUUGAUGGGGUUAUCCGUAAGGAGAAGCUCUUGAUCGAAGCCCCGGUAAACGGCGGCCGUAACUAUAACGGUCCUAAGGUAGCGAAAUUCCUUGUCGGGUAAGUUCCGACCUGCACGAAUGGCGUAAUGAUGGCCAGGCUGUCUCCACCCGAGACUCAGUGAAAUUGAACUCGCUGUGAAGAUGCAGUGUACCCGCGGCAAGACGGAAAGACCCCGUGAACCUUUACUAUAGCUUGACACUGAACAUUGAGCCUUGAUGUGUAGGAUAGGUGGGAGGCUUUGAAGCGUGGACGCCAGUCUGCGUGGAGCCAACCUUGAAAUACCACCCUUUAAUGUUUGAUGUUCUAACGUUGGCCCCUUACCGGGGUUGCGGACAGUGUCUGGUGGGUAGUUUGACUGGGGCGGUCUCCUCCCAAAGCGUAACGGAGGAGCACGAAGGUUAGCUAAUCCUGGUCGGACAUCAGGAGGUUAGUGCAAUGGCAUAAGCUAGCUUGACUGCGAGCGUGACGGCGCGAGCAGGUGCGAAAGCAGGUCAUAGUGAUCCGGUGGUUCUGAAUGGAAGGGCCAUCGCUCAACGGAUAAAAGGUACUCCGGGGAUAACAGGCUGAUACCGCCCAAGAGUUCAUAUCGACGGCGGUGUUUGGCACCUCGAUGUCGGCUCAUCACAUCCUGGGGCUGAAGUAGGUCCCAAGGGUAUGGCUGUUCGCCAUUUAAAGUGGUACGCGAGCUGGGUUUAGAACGUCGUGAGACAGUUCGGUCCCUAUCUGCCGUGGGCGCUGGAGAAUUGAGGGGGGCUGCUCCUAGUACGAGAGGACCGGAGUGGACGCAUCACUGGUGUUCGGGUUGUCAUGCCAAUGGCACUGCCCGGUAGCUAAAUGCGGAAGAGAUAAGUGCUGAAAGCAUCUAAGCACGAAACUUGCCCCGAGAUGAGUUCU